UACGUAGGGGGCAAGCGUUGUCCGGAUUUAUUGGGCGUAAAGCGCUCGCAGGUGGUCCGUUGCGUCGUGCGUGAAAGGCCCCGGCUCAACUGGGGAGGGUCACGCGAUACUGAUCGACUCGAAGGCAGGAGAGGGUAGUGGAAUUCCCGGUGUAGUGGUGAAAUGCGUAGAUAUCGGGAGGAACACCAGUGGCGAAGGCGACUACCUGGCCUGUUCUUGACGCUGAGGCGCGAAAGCUAGGGGAGCAAACGGG
rnacentral:rRNA from 1 species